rnacentral:lncRNA from 1 species
UAACUGCUUUGUAUUGUACUUGUAAUUAGGUGAAGAUUGAAAGAAUGCAGGCCCACGAGUUUGGCGCCGAGGAAGUAAGACGCAUGUAGGACCAGCAGGUGGUGCUUUUCUGAAACCCCGCUGCAAGAUCCAGAAAAAGCGGUUGAGCGCCUAGCUGGAUUUGGGGAGAGCUUUGGGACACAGACCCUCUCCUCUUUUGGAUAGCAUGAAGUGCAGAGGUCACACCUUCGGCUGCCUCACCCAUAUUGUUACUCUGAGGAAAACCAGCCUGAGGAUGAAACUGAUGGGGAGAGAACAACUGGGCUGAGAAAAUGACCGAGGCCUCACUGAAGCACUUAAAGGCUGCCUUUUCUCUGAACUUCUCAAUUAUGGAAGGACUUUCCAAGGAUGAAAGAAAUAGAAGAAAUUAUAGAGGAAAAGAACAGUAUUUGCUGCCAUCAAAAUGGGAAACUUCUGAAAAAAAAAAUAAAAAAAUAAAAAAAAUACACAAAAAAUAGGAAACUUCUGUACAGCAAAAAUACCUUAAACAAAUUAAAUAAAGAAUGAAAAAGUGUUG